GAGGAUGGGAGGAUGGGGUAAUUGGGUGAUAGGCAUUAAGGAGGGCACCUGACGUGAUGAGCACUGGGUGUUAUAUGCAACUGAGGAAUCACUGAACUCUACUCCGAAACUAACAAUACACUAUAUGUUAAUUCAUUAAAUUUAAAUAAAAUAAAAUAAAAUAAAUUUUUUAAAGGGGGUAGUGAGACAGCCAGAUGCUUCUGGUGGGAAUUUCUGUAGACGUUGCUGCAAUCAGACCCACGGUGCCUAAAGAUACCUUUGGACACAGUUCUUGUCUAUGUGCAAAUUGUAGCUGCUAACACGGGGCAGAGAGACUGCGUGGGGAUCUGCAGGUUGGUUUCCACCUUCCUGGCAUUCCUAACCUGGGAGUCUGCGGUUCGGGGUGGAUGCUUUCUUUUGUCCUUAUUUGCCUGCCUCUCACCUGCUUUACCAGCCAGCUGGCAUUGCCCCCGCCUCGCCUGCCUGCUGUUGACUGGACCUGGGGAUGUGUUUGGCUUUUCACAAAUUGUCAUUGCAGCUCACUAAGAUAUCAUCAAGGUGAAUAAUCAACAGAGAAAUGCCAUAAACAUCUCAGACAUUGAAAUGACCUUGAGGUUGGUUCAUUACUAACCUGAGACCAUAUCAGAGGCCUUAACUCACCACAGGCAGCACUUCAUCCUUGCCAAAUCUGGGACUUCAGAUGGCAAGUACACCAAUAAUCUUGUUUAACUCCUCAUUUUAAAUUUAAAUCAUGAAAACCAGAAAGUUACAUUGAUUUCUCAUGGAGGUACAGAGGUCUCAAUACCAAGGCUAUGGGUACUCCAAGUAAAGGACCAUGGAGAGCCAAACUACAGUUAUUUGAUGAGAUUAAGAGAUAGAAAAUCUAUCCAGUCUCACAAAAUGGGGGGAGAAGGAUAUUAUCACCUCCUUACUCUUAGAGAACUAGGGCAUGAAAGAACUAAUUGAUCACCUAAAGUCAUUCAGCAAUGGGAUAGAAGAAUAGGACCAGAUCAUCUCUCUUCCCAGUGGAAGCCUGUGUACUCAGUGAUGCAAUUUCCCUCUUCCUAAAUUCAUUACAAGGGAUUUGUGUAUUAUGUUUCCUUAAUUUUUCUGAAUGGGACAUUAGAGGAUCUCAAGUCUAUUUCAGGCAUAUAGAUUCUAAGGAUAAUGAAUUUUUGUAUUUGCCUUAAGUAUUUAUUUAGUUUUUCAUUUUGAAAAACUUGACUGCUACCAUUGACCUUUUGCUUAGUGUUAAGAAUGCCCAUGGGCUGUGUAUGCUGGCGAGUGUUUGUUAGUGACGCUACCUUUUCCACAUUAUAGAACAAUAAACAGGGAAAUGGCUAGUAGAUGUUGGAGUAG
rnacentral:lncRNA from 12 species